rnacentral:rRNA from 1 species
ACGGGAGGCAGCAGUGAGGGAUAUUGGGCAAUGGGGGAAACCCUGACCCAGCAACGCCGCGUGAGGGAUGACGGUUUUCGGAUUGUAAACCUCUGUCCUCUGUGAAGAUAGUGACGGUAGCAGAGGAGGAAGCUCCGGCUAACUACGUGCCAGCAGCCGCGGUAAUACGUAGGGAGCAAGCGUUGUCCGGAUUUACUGGGUGUAAAGGGUGCGUAGGCGGAUUGGCAAGUCAGAAGUGAAAUCCAUGGGCUUAACCCAUGAACUGCUUUUGAAACUGUUAGUCUUGAGUGAAGUAGAGGUAGGCGGAAUUCCCGGUGUAGCGGUGAAAUGCGUAGAGAUCGGGAGGAACACCAGUGGCGAAGGCGGCCUACUGGGCUUUAACUGACGCUGAGGCACGAAAGUGUGGGUAGCAAACAGGAUUAGAUACCCUGGUAGUCCACACUGUAAACGAUGAUUAUUAGGUGUGGGGGGUCUAACCCCCUCCGUGCC